UACGGAGGGUGCGAGCGUUAAUCGGAAUUACUGGGCGUAAAGGGUGCGUAGGUGGUUGGAUAAGUUAUCUGUGAAAUCCCUGGGCUUAACCUGGGCAGGUCAGAUAAGACUGUUUGACUCGAGUAUGGGAGAGGGUAGUGGAAUUUCCGGUGUAGCGGUGAAAUGCGUAGAGAUCGGAAGGAACACCAGUGGCGAAGGCGGCUACCUGGCCUAAUACUGACACUGAGGCAGCGAAAGCGUGGGGAGCAAACAGG
rnacentral:rRNA from 1 species